AUUUUCUUAGAAGAAAGAAAAAUAUGAGGAAAAGAUAGUGGUUCAUUUAGCAAACAACGCCAAAAUCAUCAAUCGGGUCGGGUCGCAGCCAAUAGAGAAGAAAAGACCAUCAAAGCUUUCAGUUUUCUACAGAUUCUUACUGUUCUUAGAUACUAAAACAUCCUGCUUUUUCUCACUUGAUGUCUCGCAAGCGCAAUGUCAUUGUUGCCACAGGCUUGCUAGUCUUUGCAGCUGGUGGCUUAUCCUUUCCAUUUUACAUGGCGACAAGAUCGUCAAGGGCAACUCCAUUGAUUGAUUCAUCAAAGCCGUUGCCACCACAGGCGACCUUUCGUGGGCCUUACAUCAACACAGGAUCGCGUGAUAUUGGACCUGAUCAUCGAACUUACCCCAAGAAAUAACAACUUUCUUAGUUAGAAACUAGUUUGCUAGUAAUUGAAGACUGCUUUAAAUUCUCCUCUCUUUCUAUUUUAUGUAAAGAGAUAAUAAUGAGUCUGUUGAAACUGUGUUACGCUGUGGAGAAAACUAGCAAGUUUGAGAGUGAUUCUUUUAGGGAUAGGAGAGCCUUAUCUGGCCUGAACAACACUGUUAUAAAUAUAAAUUGAUGUUCUUUUAGGGAAAGAGU